GGGGAAUAUUGGACAAUGGGCGCAAGCCUGAUCCAGCCAUGCCGCGUGAGUGAUGAAGGCCUUAGGGUUGUAAAGCUCUUUCGCCGGUGAAGAUAAUGACGGUAACCGGAGAAGAAGCCCCGGCUAACUUCGUGCCAGCAGCCGCGGUAAUACGAAGGGGGGCUAGCGUGUGCUCGGAAUCACUGGGCGUAAAGCGCACGUAGGCGGAUCGUUAAGUCAGGGGUGAAAUCCUGGGGCUCAACCUCAGAACUGCCCUUGAUACUGGCGAUCUCGAGUUCGAGAGAGGUUGGUGGAACUCCGAGUGUAGAGGUGAAAUUCGUAGAUAUUCGGAAGAACACCAGUGGCGAAGGCGGCCAACUGGCUCGAUACUGCCGCUGAGGUGCGAAAGCGUGGGGAGCAAACA
rnacentral:rRNA from 1 species